rnacentral:rRNA from 1 species
CACCGCCCGUCGCUCCUACCGAUUGAAUGGUCCGGUGAAGCGUUCGGACCGUGGCUUUCUGACGGUUCGCCGUCGGAUGGCCGUGGGAAGUUCGUUAAACCUUAUCAUUUAGAGGAAGGAGAAGUCGUAACAAGGUUUCCGUAGGUGAACCUGCGGAAGGAUCAUUA